CACAGUUAAAAAUGCAUCGUUCAUGCCCUGGCGAGCCUUGUCCUUUCCUCGAUACCGGGUGUCUGCAAAUGAGGUGAGAAUUAUUACAAAGGGUUUUACGUGGUGCACAUGGGAUACACGAAAGUUCGAUCGUGUUUUACCAAACGAUUAAGACUCUUCUUUCGGAAUUCAGACGAACUCGAUGUUAAUAAUUGCAGCGGCUAAACUGCGAACCGAUAACGACGUCUCACAAGCCCACGCGAAACUGCAUCCAAGAACGACUCGUCCAGUUGCACAGCUUUCUUCAACUUCUUUUUGAAUAUAACGUUGACAUGUAUACUUAUGUAGUGUCACUGAUGAAGACAUUGAGAAUUUGUAAAUGCAGAGUGACCCCAUUUUAGAAUAUCUGUCCGAAGAUGUCAGACAAGAAGUUAUUAUUCCUCCGUGAUCAUCGAUCUGAGAAUGAGUGAAAAAGCUGAUGAAGCGAAAGUUGACGGUUGAAAACGCCGACACUCUAUUCAUCGCAUCCUUUUUAUCCGUCAACAAUAAUCAUUCACGUUUUCUUUUUCCACUACGACGAAGCUCUCAACGCCUGGUG